UGCAAUUAAUGAUGAUUUUUUCCAUAAUUGUUGAUUGAACAAUGAUUAAUAUAAAAAUACCAUCAUCUUUCAGCUGAAAUUGUA
rfam:Capsicum annuum cultivar Zunla-1 chromosome 3, whole genome shotgun sequence